CCCACCUGGAUGCGAACAUUCGAGCUUUCAUUCUUCCCUCAAAAUCUCAGUCUCAGUUAGCAUUUUGUGAUGUCAUGAACAUGUUGACUGUUUGAUAGGCUGUGAUGGAGGACAGUUUCACACAGUCUGUGACAUUCUCCCAUAUUGCCUCUUCUUUUAGUUUCUUCCCUUCUAUUCUAUUAGCUUCCAAAGCCUGGAUGCCCCUGUUGGUUUCUCCUGUGUCAUAGACUCCUCUCUCCAAUGGAGCCAAUGGAGCAGCCCUACCAGAUUGCGCUUCCUUCCAGGUCACCGCCUAGAAGUCUGGUGAGUUGUGCCUUUUUGUGAAGAUGUUGGCUGGAAGAAAACUGCUAAAAUAUUAUUUCAGAGGUGUGGUUAAUUUGUACUCAUCCACUUGUCUUAGAGGCAAUUCAGAUUUCAUGGCCUUGUUCAGCCAGUAUUGGACAUAUGUGUCAUUUCUUCAUUUCUGUGUCAAGGUGACAAAAGAGGAACCACAAUAAGAUGGAGGAGUAGAUGGACUUCUCCAAAUUUACAGCUUGCUGCUGAACAACCAUCAUCAGGAGAAUGUUGGAUCUGACCAAAAGAAGAUACCCCACAUCCAAGGGCAAAGUAGAAGCCCCAGCAAGAUG
ensembl:lncRNA